GACGGAGUAGCUCAGUUGGUAGAGCAACUUAACAUCCUUAUUCACCCCUUGCCUUUUAGGCCGAAGAAUGAGGGUUAUCGACCUAAAAGCGAAGUCUGACACGGGUUCGAGUCCCGUCUCCGUCA
rnacentral:tRNA from 2 species